GGACCCGCACAAGUAGUGGAGCAUGUGGUUUAAUUCGAAGAUACGCGCAGAACCUUACCAACACUUGACAUGUUCGUCGCGACUCUAAGAGAUUAGAGUUUUCGGUUCGGCCGGACGAAACACAGGUGCUGCAUGGCUGUCGUCAGUUCGUGUCGUGAGAUGUUGGGUUAAGUCCCGCAACGAGCGCAACCCUCACUUUUAGUUGCCAUCAUUAAGUUGGGCACUCUGAAAGAACUGCCAGUGAUAAGCUGGAGGAAGGUGGGGAUGACGUCAAGUCCUCAUGGCCCUUACGUGUUGGGCUACACACGUGCUACAAUGGCAUCUACAACAGGAAGCAAGACUGCGAAGUU
rnacentral:rRNA from 1 species